rnacentral:rRNA from 1 species
GAUGAACGCUGGCGGCGUGCCUAAUACAUGCAAGUCGAGCGAACAGACGAGGAGCUUGCUCCACUGACGUUAGCGGCGGACGGGUGAGUAACACGUGGAUAACCUACCUAUAAGACUGGGAUAACUUCGGGAAACCGGAGCUAAUACCGGAUAACAUGAUGAACCGAAUGGUUAAACAGUGAAAGACGGUCUUGCUGUCACUUAUAGAUUGAUCCGCGCCGCAUUAGCUAGUUGGUAAGGUAACUGCUUACCAAGGCAACGAUGCGUAGCCGACCUGAGAGGGUGAUCGGCCACCCUAGAACUGAGACCCGGUCCAGACUCCUACGGGAGGCAGCAGUAGGGAAUCUUCCGCAAUGGGCGAAAGCCUGACGGAGCAACGCCGCGUGAGUGAAGAAGGUCUUCGGAGCGUAAAACUCUGUUAUUAGGGAAGAACAAAUGUGUAAGUAACUAUGCACGUCUUGACGGUACCUAAUCAGAAAGCCACGGCUAACUACGUG